GCGCCUCUAGUGAAAUGGUAUCACGGUGGAUUCCAAACCCACAGUCCUGAGUUCGAUUCUUAGGGGGCGUG
rnacentral:tRNA from 1 species